CGGUAAUUCCAGCUCCAAUAGCGUAUACUAAAGUUGUUGCAGUUAAAAAGCUCGUAGUUGGAUUUCUGCGGGGACGGAGCGGCCGGUCGCAACUUGCGACUCGAGCUAGCGCUUUCCCCGCAUCCUGCCGCGAACCGUGCUACCAUUAGUUUGGUGGCGCUGGGGAUCGGCUCGAUUACUUUGAGAAAAAUAGAGUGUUCAAAGCAGGCCACACGCCUUGAAUAAGUUAGCAUGGAAUAAUGACUAAGGACUUUGGUUCUUUUCGUUGGUGUUCGGGACUGAAGUAAUGAUUGAUAGGGACAGUUGGGGCGGUCCGUAUUCCAAAGCGAGAGGUGAAAUUCUUAGACCUUCGGAAGACGAACAGCUGCAAAAGCGUUCCGCAAGGAUGUUCCCUUUGAUCAAGAACGAAAGUUGGGGGAUCGAAGACGAUCAGAUACCGUCGUAGUCUCAACUAUAAACUAUACCAGCUAGGGAUCGGCCAACGUUUAAUUAUUCGACUUGGUCGGCACCUUAUGAGAAAUCAAAGCAUCUGGGUUCCGGGGGGAGUAUGGUCGCAAGGCUGAAACUUAAAGGAAUUGACGGAAGGGCACCACCAGCCGUGGAGCCUGUGGCUUAAUUUGACUCAACACGGGAAAACUUACCAGGUCCGGACAUAGUAAGGAUUGACAGAUUGAUAGCUCUUUCUUGAUUCUGUGGGUGGUGGUGCAUGGCCGUUUUUAGUCGGUGGAUGUGAUCUGUCUGCUUAAUUGCGUUAACGGACGAGACCCCAGCCUGCUAAAUAGCGCGGCCGAGCUUUGCUCGGUGCGAGCUUCUUAGAGGGACCAUGAUGCGCGAUAGCACAAGGAAGUUUGGGGCAACAACAGGUCUGUGAUGCCCUUAGAUGUUCUGGGCCGCACACGGGCUACACUGGCGCCUGCAACGAGCAUAUCAGCUGGCCCGAGAGGGUCUUGGCUAAUCUUUGGAACCGGCGCCGUGCUUGGGAUUGACCAUUGCAAUUGUUGGUCAUGCAACGAGGAAUGCCUUGUAAACGCGAGUCAUCAGCUCGCAUUGAAUACGUCCCUGCCCUUUGUACACACCGCCCGUCGCUCCUACCGAUGAAUGUUCCGAUGAAAUUUUCGGAGAGCGCCGGAGAACGGGGCUCCGCCCUGCAGAACUGGAGGCUCAAAGUCACUUAAAUCUGAACAUUUCGAGGAAGGAGAAGUCGUAACAAGGUAGCCG
rnacentral:rRNA from 1 species